rnacentral:hammerhead_ribozyme from 1 species
GUCCAACUGACGAGUCCCAAAUAGGACGAAAUGCGCAUCAUGGAC